AUGGCACUGGCACUUACCGGGUGGAAAAGAGUCGGCCUCAGGCGGAAAUUGAGUUCUGUUCCUCUUCUAUCCGCUGAAAGAAAAUUGAAAAAAAAAAAAAAACAAAGGGAAAACCAAGCAAGAUUUCCCAAUCGAAAGCUUCUUGGACUUUCGACCGACUGUUUGUACUAUUUACAACACCAACGGAGCAACGUCAAGACCAUAAAAAUAAUUAAUACAACUUAUCAGCAGGGCCGCGAUAUACCACCACUUGAGGAGCACACCUAUGACGUGGAGGGACUGGCAGAGGCACUGCCGGCUGCAUGGUCAGCGAUCGUACGGUAGAUGCGAUCCGAUUCGAUGGCAAAAGAAUUCCCCCUUUCGGUGUAAUUGCUUUUGGCCUGGUCGAAAGUCGGCCCGAACGGAACCGAACCGAACCGAAGCACACCACACCGAACCUAAUGAUAAUACCCGCGAUCUAAUAGGAAGCACGUGAUGCGCAUACUGCCCACCGAUCAU
rnacentral:lncRNA from 1 species